UACAUAUGUACUAUUAUGUACAUGUACCUAGUUUAGUUGAUGCCGAAUAACAGAUCUAAUAACGUCUGUCUGUAUUCGAUAUAUUUGAUUAAUCUAAAAAAAUGGAUUGACGAUAUUUCUGCUUUCAUUUUGUGUCUAACAAGAUACAACACGUAAGAACAGCUCCAACCGAGUUGAGAUUUUUCAGGAGAAGAAGUGGGGAUGUAUUUGUCUACCUUCCUACUCCAUACUGCAGUUCAAUCAUCAUUGACUACAUAUUCUAAGAGUCAGCACUGGUUUUACUCAAAUCGAAUAAUUUCAAAAAGGAUUGCAUAUUAUUUACUCUACAGGGUGUUUCAUUGGUAAAUUUACAUACGUUUACCUGAGAUAGAGCUACCCUAGACGAGUUCAAAAAACCUAUAUAUGAUAGGUCUAAUCUUCCUCAUAGCCGAAACACAGGGUGGUUUAUGAAUUGACCAAUAUUUUCAAUUCCUUAUAACUUUCGAACCACCCAGUGUAUUUAAUUGAGAUUUGGAACGCACAAUUGACUCCUUCAGGUCCAUCGAUUAAUCUUUGGAUUUAUUAAUAAAAUCAGGUCCGUAUUCGAAAAAUAUGGGACUUGUAACAAGCUGAGAUUCAACACCCUGUAUGGUGGAAUAUUGGAAUUUGAUGGAAAUAUUCGGAAAUAUCGAGAAUAAACCACAAUAACUCAAAAAAAAUAUCUGUACCAGUUCCAUCAGUUGAAAAAUUUUAUGUCGUAGAUAUUGUUUUAGACUACUCGAAUAAAUUCUAGUGAAAUUUGACCCAAAAUGAUUUCUCAAAAUUUCAUUAUUUAGUGGAAAAUAAUCGUCAGAAUAUUGAAAAAAAAAAUUAAAUUUAAUCCCAAUGUACGAGUUUUCUGAGAAGUUAGUGAAAUUCCACAAUUGAACUAAAUUUUUGGCCGGAAUUUUUGAUGAGUUGAAUGACGUGCGGGACAUUGAAAUCUACUGAUCCCCAUAGAAAAAUGUCUGGUUUUUCGGAAUAUUCCCAUCAGAUUUCAAUAUUACACUAUACAGGGUGUUGAAUCUCAGCUUGUUAAAAGUCCCAUAUAUUUCUAAUACCAACCUGAUAUUAUUAAUAAGUUAAAAGAUUAAUCGAUGGACCUAAUGAAGUGAAUUGUACGUUCCAAUAAAUACCAAUUAAAUAUAGCAGAUGGUUCAAAAGUUAUAAGGAAUUGAAAUUAUUGCUUAAUUCAUGAAUCACCCUGUAUCUCGGCUAUGAGGAAGAUUAGACCUAUCAAAUAUACGUUUUUUGGACUCGUCUAGUGUAGCUCUACCACAGGUUAACAUAUGUACAUCUACCAAUGAAACACCCUGUAUAUCUAAUUAUGUGGUGUUGCAAGCCUUGGACUUCAACUUUAGUGUGAAGGAAUUGUGAGCAUGGAGAGAAGUGGGAAUGUAAUUAUGGACCUACUCAAUACCCAGAAAUAUCUUUGCUGUUCAAUGUUCAUUGACAACCGAAGAGUCAGCAGUGUACAAAUAAGAUGAAUAAGUAUGUGGGGUAAGUACCUACUUUUCACCCAUAUUCUAGUUGAUUGUCCCAUUGUUUCAAUGUAACUAUUAUACGGAUUAUAUUGCAGAAACUGAUUAUUCACCUGCAUUUCAAUUCUGGAAGAAAUCGGGUAGGAAAUGUCAUAACCCGUAAAAACUGAAUGAUUUUUCAAAAUUCAGAUGUCUUUGUCAUCAUAUAAUUUAUAUUCUAAGAGGUACACAGACUAUUAUGAGUUCAUUCAUUGAAUGCUAUAAUUUUUUGAGCGCUUGUUGGCAGGAACGUAGUUAAGAGCUACAAGGGGGGAGAAACGGAUUCUAGCGCCCCCCAUUUGAAAAAAUUGACAAACUAUUGAAAAAUACAGAAAAAUAGAUCAUGUAUAUAUUGAAUGUAUUUGUUUUAACAUAUAAAAUAUAUAUCAAAUACAGUUUUUCAAAGAAUUAUACAUCAAUAUACGAUUAACUAUGAAUUGAAAUUAUAUUACAAUUAAGACUGAAAUCACAGUCCAAACUCUACGCUCUUUCAACAGACCCCAAGAGCAUUGAUUCCAGGGAAAUACCAUUGAUUAAGAGAAAUAAAUCGCUCAAACAUUCAUCAGACAUUGUUGUCCUGACAACAUUUUUUGAAAAUUUUAGUCGACUGAAUGUCUUUUCGUUGGUACUGGUAUCAUAACUGGCGGUUACAAUGAAUUUUAAUAUAUAGUCAGUAAGUUUCAACAUUUUAUAUUUUGUUGAUGGUGAUCUCAUGCAAGUAGUUGUUCAAAAAUGAUUUUGAUAUUUGGAGUAUGUAUACAAUUCGUAUAUUCUUGAAUCUACAAAUAAAUAUAGUUUAGUUUUAAACAAAGGUUAUAUAAAAGAGAGAGAGAGAGAACUUUAUUGGUUACAUAUCAAAUGGCUAUCGACCGAAGUCUUCCAGCCAGUAAUUUACAUUUCGAUUGAAUUUACAUUUUAUAUAAAAUUAUAUAAAAUUUUACCUGUUAAUCUAUAUUAAAUAUAGAUUAACAGGUAAAUUUUCCUCUGUUCAUGCCACUCUUUAGAUU